rnacentral:pre_miRNA from 9 species
UCUCGAUAGCGUAAAAGUUAACUCAAAUUUAUAUGGGAGUUGGAACGUUUGCCUACGUUUGCCGCUAGGGGCGCUGUUCCAACUGCAUACAAAUUUGAGUUAACUUAUACGUUAUCGA